ensembl:lncRNA
AUGUGUGCGCAAAGACGUGUGUCAGCGGCAGCUCGGGCUCCAGGGAGCCGGCGUUGGGGGUGGGAGGAGGAGGGAAGACAUAAGGGGCCAGAAGGCGAGGAGAGUCACGACCGCGGGUGGGGGGCCCAGGCGGCGGUGGAGGGGAGAAGGAUGCUGAGCCCGCGCGCCCGCCCGCUCGCUCCCCCCGGGCCGCGCGUCGGCACUCACGCUGAGGGGAAAGAGCGAGCUGCCGGGGAGCGGAGGGGGGUGGUCAGGCCGACACUGUCGCCGCCGCUGCCAGAGCCGCCGCCUCCUCCCUCAGUUUCGUUUCCCCACAAGCCAGCCCAGGUCCGCCAGCCGCGCCGUCGCGCUCGGGUCCAGUACUGCGGGCAGCGCAGCCUGAUGACGUCACGGACAGCGCCGCGCCCCGCUCCUCCCCCGGCCGGGUCCUGGCCCCGGGAAAGGCCGCUGGGGUUCUGGCCCGCUCCACCCCUUAACCUGGGAGGUCCAGGGGCGCCUGCGCGGAAAAGUCGCCGGGAAAAGGCUGCGAAAGCAAAGACUAAGAACAAGUUCCGAGAGGCAGAUGGUAACCUGGUUGAGGGCAAGAACCCAGGGUUCUUAUUCCCUGCUGUAUCCCCAACAUCCAGCCUAUGGGACAUCUCAACAGAUUUUGAACGAAGGACGGGAGGAAAGAAGGAAUGCCGCCCAUAGCAUCUUACCAUAUGGACACAGAUGGCUCUCCAUCCCAAACCUCUCUUCUGAUUUUCAGGCCAUUAUGGCCAAACGUCUGUUGGACAUCCUCCCUCAGUCACCUCAAACCCCAUGAAUUCAAAUUUCACCUUACGUUCUCCCAUCAGCUCACUUUUUUCCUGGUGAAGGGCGCUGCCAUCCAUCCUGUUGAUCCAGCUAGAAAUCUGAGGAGUCUCCCUCUUCUUCAUACACCAAAGCUUCUCAUACACUUAAUUGAGUUUAUCUCCUAAUUGUCUUUCAAAUCCAUCCAUUCACUCCCAUCCCCAUUGCCACAAUUCAUGCACUCACCCCGACUCAGCAGAAUUUCUCCAGUAAUCUCCAAACCCCCGUGACUCUCCAGUUGUGAUCCCUCUAAUGCGUUCUUCACAAAACCAAAGUGAUUUUUUAAAUUUUCAACACCUAGGAAAAGAAGGGAAUUUAAAAUUAAUUAAUUAAACCUGAUCCAGUCACAACCCAUCAAUGAUUAAAAUCCAUCAAUGAUGUCCUAUUUCUCUUAGAAUAAAGCUAAUGUCUUUAAAAUGGCCUCCGAGACCCUCCAGCAUGAUGCCUUCUUCAGGUAUGCCUUGUACUGCUAUCCCUUAGUUCUCCCCAUGCUGACUCCUGAGUUUAUCAAACAUGCCAUGUCUCGGCCAGGCGCGGUGGCUCACGCCUGUAAUCCCAGCACGUUGGGAGGCUGAGGCGGACGAAUCACCUGAGGUCAGGAGUUCGAGACCAGCCUGGCCAACAUGAUGAAACCCUGUCUCUACUGAAGAUACAAAAAAAGUAGCUGGGUGUGGUGGUGCGCGCCUAUAGUCUCAGUUACUCAGUAGGCUGAGUCGGUAGACUCGCUUGAACCUGGGAAGCGGAGGUUGCAGUGAGCAGAGAUUGCACCACUGCACUCCAGCCUGGGCGGCAGGGCGAGACUCCAUCUCAAAAACAGAACAGAACAAAACAAAACAUGCCAUGUCUCUUAAGAGUUCAGCCCGCUGCCUGGAUCAUGCUUCUCCUCUUUGCUGGGCUAAUGUCCAUUUAUCCCUCAGGACUCACUUUAGUGUCCUUAUCUCGAAAUAUUUCCUGAUGUCACAAGUCUAGGUUGGGAGCCCCACCUGUGAGCUCCUGAAGCAUUCUGUCCCUCCGCUAUCAAAGCACUUACCACAGUGUUGUGUAAUGGCCUGCGGACUCAUCUGCCUCCCCAACUCAGCUGUAAACUCUGUGCAGGAAAGAUUGUCUGUAUUAAAUUCACAAGACUUAACAGAGGCUGGUGGUCAGUGCUCAAUAGAUGUUUACUGAAUCUGUGGAAGUGUGGAAUAUGAAUGAAGGUUAAGUGAUAUGUUCAAGGUUACAGAGCUAGGAAGCAGCAAACAGGUAUUUCCCUAGUUCUCUAUGUUCUAAAGCUUAGUGUCCUUCUUUCCACCUCACCAAGGCUUCUUAACAUGCUCUAUGACAUGAACACUUUUGGUAAUCUUGUGGAGCUUAUGGACCUGUUCUCAGAAUAAUUUGAAGGGUAUAAAAUAAGGUAUAGGAAAUGAGUUAUAUUGAAAAAGUUAACAUAUUUAGCAAAUUUAAUGAUUUAAUUUUUAUGUAAAGCAUUAAAUAAUGAGAGAAUGCAUUCAAAAUAUAGUCAAGUUAAACUUAAAUUUUAUUUUUUAAUAUAUAUAAGUAUACCAAAUAAAUAGUGCUGGAAAAACCAGAUAAAUAUAUAGAGAAACAUGAACUUUGAUUUUUUUUUUUUUUUGAGACACAGUCUUGCUCUGUCGCCCAGGCUGGAGUGCAGUGGCGCAAUCUCGGCUUACUGCAAUCUCUGCCUCCCGGGUUCACGCCAUUCUCCUGCCUCAGCCUCUGGAGUAGCUGGGACUACAGGCG